UACAUAGGGGGCGAGCGUUAUCCGGAAUUAUUGGGCGUAAAGCGUGCGUAGGCGGUUUGUUAAGUCUGGUGUGAAAUCUCAUAGCUUAACUAUGUUUGGUCAUUGGAAACUGGCAAACUUGAGUACGGUAGGGGUAAGUGGAAUUCCAAGUGGAGCGGUGGAAUGCGUAGAUAUUUGGAGGAACACCAGUGGCGAAGGCGGCUUACUGGGCCGGAACUGACGCUGAGGCACGAAAGCGUAGGGAGCAAAC
rnacentral:rRNA from 1 species